UACGUAGGGGGCUAGCGUUGUCCGGAAUCAUUGGGCGUAAAGAGCGCGCAGGCGGCCCGGCAAGUCGGGUGUGAAAUCCCGGGGCUCAACCCCGGGACUGCAUUCGAUACUGCCGGGCUAGAGGUAGGUAGGGGAGAUCGGAAUUCCUGGUGUAGCGGUGAAAUGCGCAGAUAUCAGGAGGAACACCGGUGGCGAAGGCGGAUCUCUGGGCCUUACCUGACGCUCAGGCGCGAAAGCUAGGGGAGCGAACAGG
rnacentral:rRNA from 1 species